rnacentral:lncRNA from 1 species
AUCACAAACUAAAUUAGUUGUAUUCAUAUUAUAUACCACUUCUUUCAUUUACUUCUUGAAUUUUGAUCCUUUUUAAUUAUCUUGAUAUAUAUCAUGGGUGUUUUUACUUUCAAUGAUGAACAUGUCUCAACCGUGGCUCCAGCUAAACUCUACAAAGCUCUUGCAAAAGAUGCUGAUGAAAUUGUCCCAAAGGUGAUUUCUGCUGCCCAAAGUGUUGAAAUUGUUGAAGGAAAUGGAGGACCAGGAACCAUUAAGAAGUUAUCCAUUGUUGAAGGUAAUUAAGAUCACAUACUAUGUACAAAUAUAUAAUACUUAACAUCAAAUGAUACAUAGUGUUCGCGUAAAAUUGUUUUGCACCGACAACCGAUCAAUGUUUGUCGGUACAACAAAGAAUUGGGUUACUACCUUUUAUUUGAAAAUUGACAAACAUGAUGUGACAAAUUAAAGAGUUGUAAUUGAUUAAAUGAUACAUAGUUUUAAUAAUUUGAUUAAAUGAUUCACAAAUAAGUUAAGUUAAAUUCAUUAUUACCAAAAAAACAAAGUUAAAUUCAAGUGUAGUAAAAAAAAAAUUAUUCAAUUCUAUUUGGAUAGUCAUUGUAGAAUUUUAAAAUAUAAUCUUGAGAAAUAAAGGAGACAAUACAUAAGCUUGUACCAAGGGCAUGUCUAAUAAUUAUGGACCUUCAAAAAAAAAAUGAUUCAGGUGAUUCAGGACACUUGGUAAAGUUCAAAACGAUCUUUAACCGAAAGAGUUUUUAGUCAAACUAUACUUAUAUUGAAAAAAGAACUAUAUAAAUAAGGAAAAUGUUAACAAGUGUCCUUAAGGUAUUGUUUAAGCAUCCAAAAUUAGUAGUUUUUACUUUGAAAAUUGUGUAAUUAUGACUUGUAUAUAUGUUUGACUUGUAUUUUCAAGACAAACUUUUUUUUUGUGGAUUCCUUUAACAAUGUCCUUAAGACACUUGUUAACAAGACCAUGUAAAUAAUUAUAAUGGUUAUAUUGCAGAUGGCAAAACCAACUUUGUGCUACACAAAUUAGAUGCAGUAGAUGAGGCAAACUAUGGAUAUAACUACAGCUUAGUAGGAGGAACAGGGUUGGAUGAAAGUUUAGAGAAAGUUGAAUUCGAGACAAAUAUUGUUGCUGGGUCUGAUGGUGGAUCCAUUGUUAAGAUUUCAGUGAAAUAUCACACCAAAGGUGAUGCAGUUCUAUCUGAUGCAGUACGUGAGGAGACUAAGGCCAAAGGAACUGGUCUUAUCAAGGCUAUUGAGGGCUACGUCUUGGCAAACCCUAAUUACUAGCCAAUUAAACCCUAUUGAGGACUUUAAUUUGGGUUGUGUUGUUUUAUGCGAAUAAUAAUUAAAGUUUAUGAUGUAGUUGAAUGUGUGUUGAGUAUACAUCAAGGUCUUUGGUUCGUACAUGUGUGUUGGCUAUGUUGGAUGUUGUGAGGUUUGAGUGUUAUUUUGGGUGUUUAAAAACAAAAACCUAUGUUGUGUUGGUGAUAAGGUUUUGCACCAUUUGUAUUCUGCAAUAAAUAAUGCAAAAGAAUUUUAUAGCACUUUCGGUUAUUUGAAUUUAAUUUAGGAUCACAUCAAACUAACAGUGCAUAUGACUUUCGAUUGGUAAUUUUAACCAAAGCUGUCUACAAUUAUUUAAAUAGUUUGGUUGAGUUUUGUCUUGAAUUGAUUUGAGCAAUUUAAAGUAAGUGAAUCAUAUUUUGAAAGAGUCAUCAUGACAAAUUUGAUUUUUAAAACAAAACCCCCAGUGUGUAAAAUAAGCAUGAUGAUGAGGCGGGUGAUGAUGAGUUUUACCUUCCCCAUCCUUAUACCCUACUCUCAUAUACUUACCUGCCACUUUACCUAUAUCUAAUGAGGGUGAGAAGUCGAACCCCAUCACUGUCUCCGACGGGUUUAGGUAUCCCCGCGUCAUCUCCGUUGUGGAUAAUUUUUUUUAAUGAAAAAAGUGUUUUUCUACUUCAGGCGCAAUGUUGUAAUACAUUAUCCUACAAAGAGAUGAUGACGAUCGAUAACUACGUUGAUGGAGAAGUGAGAGACCGAGAUUGAGAAGUGAGAAUCAUCUGAGAGACUAAGACUCUGACUAUGUGAGGAGAAUAAAGAGAACUCUGAGAAGUGAGUGUCAUCUGAGAGACUAAGUUUUGAUUGUGUGAGUGAAAUGAUUUAGGGUUUGAGUUUCUAUUUAUAUAAAAUGGAUAAUAAAUUGAUUUUCUACAUGUGGGGCGGGUUUGAGUGUGGGUUCGGGGUGAAUACAUAUAUCCUCGUUACCUAUCCAGUAUCCAUGUUUUGAAUCAUGGAAAAUUCAAACUCAUACCCAAAUCCAAUAAAAGCAGAGAAAAUCCGUCAAAUUAGAUUUGUUUCAAAUGGGUACCCGCAGAUAUGCAUUUUGUUGUCUUACCUCAAAAUCACUAUUUAGUAUAGAAAAGUUAACUUGUAACUAAUGUACAACUUAAAGUUAAGAAGUUAAAUGCAAAAUUAUAUUUAGAAAUUGCGCAUUUCUUAUCCUAAAGUUUCUUCUUUUUCAAGGGUAAUUCCUUGAGAGUUUAAAAACUAAAUUUUAAUUCAAUACAAAAAUUUUGUUUUGAUUUCAUUUUUAGAUCGUUAAUUUGUGUCCUUGGUAUACAAAUUAACCUAACUCAUUGAGUAUGUGUUUGUUUUUUCUUAAAAAGAGUAUGUGUUUAGCUGUAAAAUAACAUUAAACAUGAGUCGUCCAACCUGACACUCUAAUUAGUAGCUUCUGAACCUCAUGAUUAAAUGGUAACUCACAUUGGCUGUGAACUAACUCUAUCCCAAAUUGGUGCUUAAUACGCUAAUUUAGGGAUAUUUGUGGUGCAGUUUGAAUUAGUUUUGAUGCAAAUAGUCAUCAUAUUUAAAAUAAAAAUCGCAUGCGGAAAAUAUAGGGUAAAAUAUAACGUUUAAUGGAAAAUAUAGCAUGAAUAUAUAUUAAAAAAUAAUAUUACAGAAUAAAAAUUAUCAAUUAUAUUCUAAACAUAGGAAGAAGUAAUACUAUACAAUAAAUUAAUGCAAUAUAUAAAAAAAAAUAAAAAAUAAAACCGAGAAGCUAUAUAUUAAUGCAAUACACACACUAAUAAAAUAAUAAAUAAGUAUUAAAAUUUACAAAACAACAUCCAAAAAAAAUCAAUUUUUUUGUUGUUGUUUUUUUUGGAUUAGUGUACGGUUUUAUUUUGGAUGCGUUUGAAUUUGAAUAACCACAUGCCUACUAGGCUAACUGUGUAUAUUAUUUAGGAAAUGUCAUAAAAGGUACUCCCUCAAUCUUAAAUAAUUAUCAUUAUUUAACUUUCAUCCAUAUCAAUGUACAAUUUUAACUAUUAAUAUUCUUAGUUAUUUAUUAAUAAAAGUUGUAAAAAAUUGAUAUUUUAAAAAUAUUCGUUGAGAUAAAUUGAACAAUAUUUUAUUUACUAACAUUUUAUUUACAAAUAUGAUCAAAGUAGAUUAUGUGAAUCGUACGUAUGGUCAAACUAUGACAAUAAUUUUGAAAUAGAUGGAGUAAUUUUGAAAAUAGAAAAGAGAAAUGUUAGCUAGUGCCUUCCGGUGCACUAGCUAUAUGAAAAACGUGUGGAGUAAUUUUGAAACCAAUAUAGAAAAUUGUGUUGAGAAGUAUGAAAAAGUUGUACGUUCAACUUUUUAAAAGUCAAAAAUUUAUUAUUUUUAUAAAAAAAAAAAUCUACUUCUAAUUUUUUUAACUAAUGCUCCAUAAUCAAUAGUUAGCAUGACUGGAUAAAAAAUGACAUAUCAUAUCAUACUAACAAAUGUUCUAAAGUUACAUUGUUAUGGACAUUUGUUAGCAUUUUUUACUUUUAUUAAAAAAAUAGGCAUUUCACACGGUUACUUUUGGCUUUAUCACAUUUUGCGUUCACAUAUCUUUGUAAAUAAAUAUGCCUUAUAUUGAUCAGGAGUAAAUUGGAACACAACUAGCAUCUCUCCAUUUCUCUCUAUCAUCAUGUGUAUAUCACAAUUUUUUGAAGAAGUUAAAGAAAUCAUGUUAAAAAUCAAAUAAAGCUCCUUUAACAUAUGGUGCGUCAAAGCAACCUAAUAAUCCAAACAGCUCACAUUACAACAUGUCGUAACAACCCAACAAAAAAUUAGAAAACUAUCUUUAAGCAAAACAAAGGAUUUUGCCUCGAAAACACGUGAUAUAAUUUUAACCACCAAUAAAUUUGUAGUUUAAUUUUUUCACUCAGAGAUUGAAGUUGAUUACUCUUCUGUUGAAAGAUCCUAACAUUUCUUUCUUUGAAAUGACGCAAAGCACUGAAAAGUCGAAAGAAGUUCUCCUUGGCGAAUCCCUUUUUUCAACUUAAACUCAUUAGUAAGGCUACCAUUCACAAGUACCGAAGUCGUUGCUGUUGAGACACAUUCUAAAAUCCAUUGACUCCAGCGCUAAGGGUAAUUCAGUUUGGUCAUCAAAUCUCCCAAAUACCUCCAAUGAACUGAGUCAUAGGUUUUUUUGAAAUCAACCUUAAAAAGAAUAAGUUCUUUCUUAGAUUUACACGCAUCACCCUUUAACUCAUUGGCUAUCAGAAUUGCAUCUAAAAUUUGUCUACCUUUUACAAAAGCAAACUAAGAUUCUGAAACACCAUUACUAACCACCUUCCUCAAUCUAUUAGCAAGAACUUUUGACAAAAUUUUAUACACCCUCCGUCCCUUAAUGUAGGCACCUAUUGCCUUUUCACAUUUCUUAAGAAAUGUUGUCAGUGUAAUUAAUGUGUUUGUUUUGUGUGUUAAUAAUUAUCCUUGGUUUGUAUGUAUUAAAUUUGACUUUUCAUAUUUCAAGACAAGUUAGUAGUAUUAAUUAGGGAUAUGUUUAGGAAAAAAUUAAUAAACGCAUCUAGUAAUUUGAAAUGGAAUUUAAAUUUAGAGAAAAAAAUAAAAUCAAACGGAAACUUAGAUAUAAGGACGGGGGAGUAUAAGCUACCAACCAAAGAAAUAGGUUGAAAAUAUGCCAACUUCUAAAGACUCUUAGCUUUGGGAAUCGAAGUAAUAAAAGUAUUUAUGUCCUUUGUUAACUUACCAUUGUGAUGAAACUCAACAAACAAAUUCUUUGAUAAAACCAAUAUUAAUCUCAUCUUGCUCAGGACUCUUAUAACUAUCACAAUCUCACACUCAUGCCUCUAUCUCUUCCAACAAAAAAGGUAUAAUAAGAUCAGCCACAUCCUUCAUACUAAUAGUUUUAAAAGAAAGAUCCCCUAACCCAGGUCUGGACUCCAUUGCAACUUUAAAAUUAGAUUGAAAAUGUUGAAAAGCCACACUCCUCGCCCCUUCCACACCCUUAAUCUGAACACCUUUAACAUUAAUAGAAAUAAUCACAGUUGACCCGUCUCCUAGAAGACACCACCCCAUGGAAAAAAAAAAAAAAAACGAAUUAGCACCACCCUUCUUUAACCAAGUCGAUCUAGAUUUUUGCCACUGAAUACUAAAAUGUAAUUUAUAUAAAGCCACAACAUCUGCUAAUAGAAAUCAAAGAGAGAAAUCAACAUAUCAAACAAAACGAAACCGAAGAACCAAUGCAAAUUGAACUAAAUAACCAACCUAAAUCAAACCACCAUUAAUCAAAUCAUCCUUAUCAAAUCCACCAAUCAAUCACAAUACUAACAAUUCCAUCGUGUGAAGAACAAUGAAUUCAAAUGGAGAAAAACUAAUGGAUAUCAAAAUAAAUCCAUAGAGAACAACCGUGACAAUUGCUUAACAAAUAGUAAUUCAACUAAAAAGAAAAGUCCUAAUCCAACAAAAACCAACACAUUAAUAUCCAAGUGCCAUCAGGACUCAACUGAAUCUUUGAAUCAAAAAAAUAAUAGAUAGCUAAAACAAUAAAUCUUAUAGUUUACAAACAAAUCAAAAUGCAAAACAGAUUCCUAAUUUUUUUUUUUUUUUUUUUGAAAAAUUAACAACGGAAUAGCCGUGAAUCAUAUAAGGAGGGUCAAAACAUGCUCUUGAUACCAUGUUAACAAUAUUAGGUUUAGAGCUCUUAUACAUGGAGCAUCGUAGGUGACAUACAAACUUUCACGGUGUGAUGUGAAAUUACUAAAAUACCCCUGUCACAUGGGGGUAUACAUGAGAGGUACAUAAAAAAGGAUGUCUAUCUAUCUUUUUUCAUAGAUUUAAUAAAAAAGGGAGAAUAACACAAAACAACUAGAAUUUUAUAAAAUGUAGAUGACUUAACAUUACAAAAGGUUAACAUAAACCUAAUGGAUUACUAACUUAAUAAUAGUUUAAGUUAAAAACUUUAUUAUCUAACCAAUUUUAUCUACUUCCAAUAUAUCACCUACGAAUUUUCUAUUUUUGAAUCCCGUCUACACUCUGAGUCAUGGAAUACUGCGAGACUAUUUCAUAUUGAUUUUCGUAACCCAAUUCAAGAUAACACAAAGAGGGUUGACCCAAUCACAAUCACCAAUAAAUAAAUGAGCUUUUGUCAAAAAAAGACGACCUGAUCAAUGAGCUAUUUUUCAACAAAAUAAAGUGAGAUUUACGAACAAGCCACAAGGUAUGUCCUACCAAAGUUCUAUAAAUACCAUUCCUCACCAUCUCAUAAACCCACAUCACAAGCGAAAUUAGUUGUAUUCAUAUUAUACAUUUCUCUUUUCAUUUUCUUCUUGUAUAUUGAUCCUUUUUAACUAUCUUGAUAUAUAUCAUGGGUGUUUUUACUUUCAACGAUGAACAUGUCUCAACCGUGGCUCCAGCUAAACUCUACAAAGCUCUUGCAAAAGAUGCUGAUGAAAUAGUCCCAAAGGUGAUUUCUGCUGCCCAAAGUGUUGAAAUUGUUGAAGGAAAUGGUGGACCUGGCACCAUCAAAAAGUUAUCCAUGUCUGAAGGUAAUUCAUUAAGAGCAUUUACUAUAUCCCUGUCAAAAAAAUACAACUUUAUUAAUUAGUAAUUCAAUAGACAUGUUAAGAAAUCAUAUACUCACUUUUAUUUUUGAAUUAGAUUUUGAGUGUUGAAGGAGACCAAUGAUAAUACAUAAACUGAGUCUAUAUAUAAAUAAUAAGCUUCAAGAAACAACUAAUUUCCAUGGAAAAAGAAUAUAUAAGAUACUUCAUGCAAGAUUCAAGAGAACCACUAAACUGGAGACAGGGCCGGCCUAAGGACCAAACAACCUAAACAAGGGUUUUAGGCUUCAAAACUUUUGGUAAAAAAAAAGGUCUUUAAAAAAUUAAUUUGGUCAUAAGUAUAUUAUAUGACAGAUAAAUUACAGACAUUUGAAUAGCUUAACUGAUCAAAAAGGUUUUAAUUACUCAUGGUCAUGAAUUCAAAUUUUGGUCUCCACGCAAUUGCUUUUAUAUAAAUAUUCUAUUAAAAAAAUAAUUUCAAAGGCCACAUUAAAUUUUUUGAUUUAAGCCUCUUAAUCUGUUGGGUCGGCCAUGGCAGGAGAUCCAACUAUUUGUAUAAACUACAGUCGUUGAAAUGUAACUAUUGUGAGAGUGUUGCUUGUUUUCAUUAUAUAUAGUAGUUAUAUAUUCAAAUGAAAUGAAUGAUCAAAUUAACACUAAAAUUUAGUUAAAAUCAUUUCAAAUAUCAAUAUAUUAUUGUCAAGAUUAAAUUAUGUAAUUUUAUAUGAUUUCAACCUAAUGGUAAAGAGUGGUUAUAAUAUAUCCAGAUUAAUUGUAAAUAGACUCGUAUUCAAUAAUUAUAGUAAUUAAGAUCAACUUUUUAAUCAGCCCAAUAAAAUGUGUGGUCUACAACUAUAAGAUUCACACAAUAUUAUAGUAAAAUAGACUUAACAAUCAAGUGAUUAAAUAUAUCCAGUUACAUUAGAAUUGAUCUAUGACAAAAACAAUUUUUAGUCGAACUUUACUUUCAUUUUGAGGGAACCAACUUAUAUAAAUUAUGAUGGUUGUAUUGUAGGUGGCAAAACCGACUAUGUGCUACACAAAUUAGAAGCAAUGGAUGAAGCAAACUUGGGAUACAACUAUAGCAUUGUAGGAGGAACAGGGUUGGAUGAAAGUUUAGAAAAAGUUGAAUUCGAGACAAGUAUUGUGGCUGGCUCUGAUGGUGGAUCCAUUGUUAAGAUUUCAGUGAAAUACCACACCAAAGGUGAUGCAACUCUAUCUGAUGCAGUGCGUGAUGAAACUAAGACCAAAGGAACUGGACUUAUCAAGGCCAUUGAGGGAUACGUUUUGGCAAACCCUAAUUAUUAAGUAAAAUGUAUACUUGGUUGUGUUGUGUCAUACCAAUAAUAAUUGAAGUUUAUGAUAUGGUUGUUUGAUUUAUACAUCACGAUUUCUAGCUUAUACAUGUGUGUGGGCUUUGUUGUUUAAUUACAAAAAUCUAUGUGUUGAUGUUGAGGUUUUGUACCAUCUAUAAUUCUGUAAUAAAUAAUGAAGAAUUUUCUAGCACUUUUCAUUCGGUAUUUUAACUUUAUAUGCCUUGACCAUUAUUGGUACACCAAUUUCCUUUCCUCUUGUUAUCCUUUUUUUUUCUUUCUUUGGAUUUAUUUUUGACUUGUAACACAUAAAAACUCAACUCAUCACUAGCAUGCUUUGAAUUUUACUAUGGCUGAGAAAAAGUAAAAACAUAAUGUGAGUAUGAUAGAGAAAGUUGUCAUAUAAUGGUUAUAUAAAUAUUAUUUCUCUAUCAUAAAUGUAAAGUGGAAGAUAUUGAAUUGAGAGUGAUGAAAUUUGUAUGGGUCUUGUUAACGAGUGCCCCCGAGGGCACUCUUUAAGCAUACUAAAUUAGAAAAUUAUUCUUUAAAAAAUUCAAAUAAUUCAAUUUCCAAUGCAUUGAAUACAUAACUUUUCAUAAAAAGUUACUAUUUAAGACCCUUAAAGAGUGUCCCCAGGGCACUAGUUAACAUUUCUGAAUUAUAGUAUUAAUUAAGAUGUAUAAUUGAAAAAAGAUAGUUAAUUAAUAUUAUAUUAAAAAGUGAAAUUGAUCAUUCAUUUUAGAUCUUUCUUCUUUUUUACAAAUAAAUUACUUAUUGUGGAACAUGAGGAGUAUCAUUUAUGCUCAAACUAAUCAUGCAAACUCUAAUAUAUAUAAACAAUUAUAAAUCAAAUAGACUUCAAUUUGAUAUUCCUUGCACUCGAAUAAUUUGGUAAGAGACAAAUUAAAUAAAGGAAUUUAAGUUUUUAUAAAUAAUCAACAUGUUAUAAGAUACAAUUGUUUGAAAAAGAAGAAUGGUGGUUUGCGGGUUAGGGUCUCUUAGUUAAUCAUCUAUUUCUGUUUCAUGUUUUUUUUUUUAAUAAUUUAUUUCUGUUUCAUGUUAUUUACCAACUUUAUAUUAGUUUUUUUGUAACUUUUUUAGUACAACUUGUGCUGAAAAGAUUUUGGUUAAUGAUAUUCUAUUUUGACAUGCUAAAAAAAAUGAUGAAUGUGAACCCGUUAAAUAAGUAAACGAUAUAGUACAUAGGUUGCAUAUUUUUAAACUUUGCCGUCUUUGAAUUGAAUUCUUGAUGCUUUUGUCCAAGUCAAAUUUCGAUUUUUAAUUCCUUUGCCCAUCUCUUCAUCGGCCAAAACUUCUGAGCUAAUAAGUCAUUGAUCUAUAUCUAUAUAUCUAUCUAAAGAAAAGUCAUUGAGUUGAAAAUAUCAUUUUGAAGAUAUGCUCUACAAUUUAUGGUUUUGAAAAAUAAUACACGCUCUCUAAUAUGGACAGCUUUGUUUUACACACUUAUUAAUCCUACUUAUUAAAGGUGCUACUAGCUAGUAACAGAUGGGAAACUUUUUGUUUCAAGUUUACCAAAUUUAUUUUUGGUGAUAACAUUUCUUGGAACAUAAAGAUGAGAAUUUUAUUCUAAAAUAUUUAGAAAAAAGAUGUUUGCUUAACAUUAUAGUAUUCUCAGAAACCAUAAAAAUAAGGAUUAUAAUAGAUAAUUACACAUGAAUCUAUUCCCAUGUUCAUGGGAACUUUAUUCCCACUAGUUUCUGUGAGAAAUUUUUUCCAUUCCCAUAAACAUUUUAUACCUGCGAAUAAAAUUUAAUAAAUUUGUAACAAACAUAGACAUGCAUAUGUCUAUUGUUUUAUUCCCAAAAAUCUACAUAGAUAACUUGAAAUAAACGUACCCUUAAAUUUAAUUAUUUACUGAAAAGAAAAAUGUGAUAAGGAAUCUGUUUCUACACCUCCAGGAAACACUAUCUCUUUUUCUUUUACGGAUCAAAGCUACAUUAUUUAGUUCCGUAAAUACAAUUUGAAUGGUAAAAAAUUUAAAGAUAUUUGAUUAAUUGGAGUGCGAGUUUGAAUAUAUAAUUCUUCACUUUAAAUGUUUUAAAGUAGAAUUGAUUUUUUUUGUAAAAUUAAUUCUACUCAAAGCUAAAUGUCGAGGCACGAAUAUUGUUCAAUUCACUUUUACUUAAAUAUAAUAAAACAUAUAUUAUUUUACAUUUAAUCAGAAUUAACUGUACAAAAUUAAUUCAUUUAGAAUCAAAUUUUUGUUGUGUAGCAUAAACAAACACACACUAAAUUACGUAGUUUGAUUUCUUUAUUAAAAAAAAGAAAGAGUAAAAUGAUUUCAUAUUUUGUCUUCAUUCCCAUUAGUUUGUUAUUGUCUUUGUAAUAAAAAAAUUAAAAAAAAUAUUUUUUUUCACUACGUAAAAACUUCACGUAGAUCUUUUUAUCAUUAAUUAAUUCGUGCGUGGUUAUGUACGACUGAGUCUCCUUAUUUUAGGAUAACGACUUCAAAUCUUUCAUACAUCAAUCUUCACCAAACUUUAACGGUGUGUUUGGAUGUAAGAUGAAAAUGAAAAGUGAUAAACAGAUGAGAAAGAGUGUGAGAAGAGAGAAAGCGAUAAGCAAUACAAUAGAUUUGUAGCAUUGAUUAGUAUAAAAAUGAGAAGAGAAAUAUAAAAAAAAAAAACAGAUAUUUUAUUCUUUGAAAAAGACAAAAACAACCUCCAUUAAAAAUAAAAUAGUAAAAUAUCGCUACUAUAUUAUGCUAUCUAAAGUUUGUCAUAAAAAUUAUCCUAUAUUAUAAUUUAUUAGUAUAAUAAUAAAUCUCAUGAAAUAAAGUGAAAAAUUAUUUACUUUUUCAUUGUGCUGUAAAAAAGUACUCCAUGUUAAUCAAUGUAUAAAGCAUUUAAAAGAAAGGGGCAUAAUUGGAAAUAUGCAAUAAAUAGGUUGCUCUAUUGGACUUUCAGGAUUGAAAAAACUGUCGGUACCAAAAAUUAAUUCGAACUUGAAUUAUUUCUUUUAACGCAACUUUAGAUGGCUCCUUGUGACUUUAAUUAAUAAUAUCAAACAUUUAUCUUGUAAAACAAGGUAGGACCUACCAAUAUGUCACUUAGUCAUGGAUUUCUAGACUAAUUCACAUUUUUAGAAUCGAAUUCAAGAUUGUCGACAUCACAAAGAGAAUUGACCCAAUAAAUAAAUAUCAAAAUACUUGAGCUAAAUAAAUAAGUGAGAUUUUGCAAACAAGGUAGGUCCUACCAAAGUUCUAUAAAUAGUAACCCUCAAUGUGUUAUAAACCGCAUCACAAACUAAAAUAGUAGCAUUAUUCAUAUUAUACAUUAAUUUCUCCUUUCAUUUACUUAUUGCAUAUUGAUCCUUUUUAUCUUGAUAUAUAUCAUGGGUUCUUUUGUUUUCAUUGAUGAACAUGUCUCAACUGUGGCUCCAGCUAAACUUUACAAAGCACUUGCAAAAGAUGCUGAUGAAAUCAUCCCAAAGGUGAUUCCAGCUGCUCAGAGUGUUGAAAUUGUUGAAGGAAAUGGAGGACCUGGCACCAUUAAGAAGUUAUCCAUGUCUGAAGGUAAUUGAUUAAGAUUAUAUAACAUUUACACAGUUGAAUUUUUGGGACUAGAGUUGAUUGUUGGUAUAUUGAAAUGAGAUUCAACAAUCAAGUAAUUAACGAUAUCCAGUUACGUUCAGAUUGAUCAAUGACUUAAACAAUUUUUAGUCAAACUUUAUUUAAAUUUGAGGGAACAAAACUUAUAUAAAUUAUGAUGGUUUAAUUGUAGGUGGUAAAACCGACUUUGUGCUACACAAAUUAGAAGCAAUGGAUGAGGCAAACUUGGGAUACAACUAUAGCAUAGUAGGAGGAACAGGAUUGGAUGAAAGUUUAGAGAAAGUUGAAUUUGAGACAAAUAUUGUGGCUGGAUCUGAUGGUGGAUCCAUUGUUAAGAUUUCAGUGAAAUAUCACACCAAAGGUGAUGCAGUUCUAUCUGAAGCUGUACGUGAGGAAACUAAGGCCAAAGGAACUGGACUUAUCAAGGCCAUUGAGGGUUAUGUUUUGGCAAACCCUAAUUACUAGCAAAUUAAACAUUUGCUUUAAUAAUAAUUAAAGACUAUGAUAUGGUUGAAUGUGUGUUGGAUAUUUUGAGGUUUGAGUGUUGUUUUGAGUGUUUAAAAACAAAAACCAAUGUUGUGUUGGUGAUGAGGUUUUGCACCAUCUGUAUUAUGUAAUAAAUAAUGCAAAAGAAUUUUCUAGCACUUUCCGUUAUUUUUUUAGAGGAAUAGCACUUUACAUCAUUUUAAUUUAAUUUAGGAUAACAUCAAACUAAUAGUGCAUGUGGUUUUCAAUUGGUUGAAUUUUAAACUAACACUGUCUACGGUUCGAUUAUUUAAACAGUUUGGUUGAGUUUUGUCUUGAAUUGAUUUGAGCAAAUUAAAGCAAUUGAAUCAUGUUUUGAAAGUCUCAUCAUCUUGUCCAAUAUGAUUUUUAAAACAAAACCUACUGGUUUGAUAAACCGUUAAAAGGGAAUUAGAAUACAUCGAAACAACACAAAUUUUUAUGAUACUAAAAUUAAAGAAGAUAAAAUUGUGAAUACCUAUAAAAGUCUCACAACACCCUAAUUUCUUUUUUCUUUUUUAAAACACAUGUAAGUUAAUAACAUAAAAGGAUAAAAAUACCUAUAAAUACGACAAAUAAAGCAACUAAAAUACUAUAUGCAGAGCCUACCCAACAUUUUGGUAGGCCUAAAGUGAAUUUUUUAUUGAUGCUUUUUAAAGUAAAAUAUUAAACUUUGUUGAACCCAAGGUUUGAACCAAAGAUGCAGAGGAUUUGAGACCUCUUCUUGACGAACUAAAGUUAUGCAAGCAUUUAUAAUUAUUUUAUCAUAUUAUGUAUUUAUAUCUAAAGUUGAUAUGGUCAUUGCGUAUCCACGAGGAUUUGAGGCCUCUUUGUUGCUGCCUACCCACGAGGUUUAAUUUGCAAAAUCAUGGAGUCCAUUGUCUGUCACUUGUGUGGUUUGUAAUAAUGAUUUGAAAGAUCAAAUGCACAUGUUUAUGCACUGUAAUUUUGCUACUGAUUGUUGGAAAGAAGUAAAUCUUUGGGCAAGAUAAAGUCAUACAUAACGUCAAAUGAUAGUUUUUCAUCCAUUAUCUUUGAUAUUCUUGUAGCUAUUUAUUGAGUGUUUGGCAUGCACGUAAUGCUUGUUUAUGGGAGGAAAAACUUGUCGAUGCACAUACAUCUUGCGUCCUGGAAUUAGAUACAGUUCGAGAUUACGUGUGGUGUCAUCGUCUCAACGAUGUUGUGCAGUCUGCUACUCCAACUUAGUCCAAACUGCAGGCAGAUUGGAUCAAGUCUUACAUCGAUUGUGUUCUUUUUGAAGCUGAUGGAAAAUUUAGUGUUGGUAUCUGUUUUCGAGACCGCCUUAUCCAAGAACUAUUCCAUCCUAUAGCAAGAAGCUUAGAUAUUAUCUUAUAAAGCACAUUACAUAAUGAAAUUACCCUCCAUUCCUUCAUACUAGUUGGUUUUGUCACAUUUAGGAAUAAGGCAAAUAUUAUUAUCAUUCAAUUAAUGUGCUCGGAAAAUAACCUAUAUAUAACCACAUAUUCACAACUUCAAAAAUUUCAUCACUACAAAGAUUCCAAAACCUUGAAAAAAAAAACCCGGAUUAAAACCAUGAAGACUCGAUGACUUAUUUGAAUGCAUUUGAAAUAACGUAAGUUUCAGCUCCUCUUUAGUAAACGGUGCUAAAAUAAGGUUGUUGUUUGCAUCGGUUAUCUUUGGUUGAAGGUGACAACUAGGCUACCCAUGAAAGAAUGAUGGGUAAUUUACCCUAACCAAUACACAUUAGCCACAUAAGCACAUAUUCAUGAACUAUCUUGACCCCACAAAUAAAUUGUUCAUUUUCAUUGGUUGGUAGGUAAAUUACCCACCAUUCUUCAAAAGUAAUUUAAAAAGAACCUUGAUGGAAUCAUACCAAUCAUUAAAAUUUUCAAUAUCACAAUCAUUUACCGCCUCCUUAAACCCAAGAUAAAUCCAAUUAGGAUGGGAAUGUUGGCCUCGAAUAUUCUCUUGAGAUAAAAUAUCAUUAAAAUUUCUUAUGAUACACCAAGGCAUAUGAGACAUGUCCCUCAACUCUCUGAGACAUGUCCCUCAACUCUCUGAGCAUAUUCCAAGAAUCUCUUCUUCGACCUCCUUUUGGGUAACCAUAAAAAUCAGUUAACAUUGAUUCUCUUUUUAUUGUAUCUUCCACAAUUAAAUUGAUAUUGUUUAUAGAGUAAUUAAGAAUUUUACACAAGCUAUUAACUUUUCAUAUCACUGCUAUCUAGGGGUGGGAUUAGGUCGAGUCGGGCCAAACUUUACUUAAAUAGGUCAGAUCUAAUUUAAAAAGUUAAAGCCUAGGCGACCUAUUAGCUUGUCAAAGACUUUAUUUUAAGUCUAAGCUUUUUAAAAGUCUAGCCUAAUAUUGUCAAAAAGCCUAGUUUAUGCUAAGAAUUUUAAAUAGAAUAUCUGUUCUAUUUAUAAAAAGGCUAAUAAACAUAUAUUUCUUAGAAGAUUAAUAUGCCAAUAAAAUUUUGUAGAGCUUGUAUAUCAAUUUUGUUUCACUCUGUAAGCAUAUAUUGCAUGUAAAUCGAAUAUAAUUUGGUAAGGCCUCUACAUCAAUUGUAUAGAGGCUAUUAGCCAUAUAUGGGCCGAAAAUUUAUUAAUACAAUGGAGGAGUAUAUAUAUAUAUAUAUAUAUAUAUAUAUAUAUAUAUAUAUGAGGAGGGAUAUUUUGACUUCAAGAGUAAGUUUAUAGACUUAUUCCAAAUCUCCACCUUUCAUCUUAUUUUAAUCUAAUAGUUUAAAUGUGAGUUUUAAUUGUUAAUCAUGUGACCAUUUUUUUGGAUCUCAUUCUUAUAAAUAUUUUCUCCAUUUAAUCUCCCUUAUUAAUUAAUGUAAUAAAUACCUCCCCAAUUUUAUUUUAUUUUUUGGCGCACCUUUGCCAAUUCAAAAAGUGUUUUUUAAUCUUUUUCUCCAACAUUAGAGCAAGGUUGCAGUUUGAAAUAUAAAUUAAAAUGUAAGCUUUCCACUCUCACCUCUUGAACCUAUGGAUGAGAAGAUUUUUUUUAUUGAAAUGUAAAUCAAAAAGGAAAGAAAUGAGAUUGAGAGCCAUCAUGUAGAAUUGAGGUUGGAGUGAAACGGAGAGCCAUCACUCUAUAUCCUAUUGUGAUUUAUAUGAUUAUCCAAUCAAAGAAAUUGGGUGUAUACAAAAUCAAUUGGGUGAGUUAGGGUACAAAGCAUUAGGAGGAAAUUUUGUUGUUUUCUGAGAGUUAAAAUAAAUAAAAAAGUAAUUAAGGGAUAAAUGAAAUUUGUUUUAUGAGAAUAAAAUAAAAAAACUUAAAAGUGUGUUUAUGAGAGAAAGGAAAUUUGAUUUAUGAGAAUUAAUUAAGGGAGAAUAAUUGGAGAAGGUAUUUAGAUCCACAAAGAUGGUCAUAUGAUUAACAAUUAAAACCCACAUUUAAGCCAUUAGAUUAAAAUAAGAUGAAAGGUGGAGAUUUGGAGUAAGUCUAUAAACUUACUCUUGGAGUCAAAAUAUCCUCUCUCUCUCUCUCUCUCUCUCUCUCUCUCUCUCUCUCUCUCUCUCUCUCUCUCUCUCUGUAUAUAUAUAUAUAUAUGAGAUAUGAGAUAGAAUCCGUUGACACUUUAUAUUGACACCAAAUCAUAUCCCUUGAUUUCAUUUGAUCCAAUAGCUCCUAUUAAUUCACUUAACCUUGUACCUAUGUGUGAUGCACUGAACCACACCGUCGUCUUCAUUCUCACGUUAUACGUACGCCGUCUGCUAUCUGCAGUUUUCGUUCAUCUCUUCUCCCCUUGCACACCUUCACAAAUGCUUCAUCUAUAUUAUGUGUUGCUCCUAUCGAAAUUAAAACCCACUAUUCAAUUAGUGGUGGAUAUGAGUUAAAACCUUGUACGCUAAUUCUUCAAAUGGAUCCUCUAAGAUUAAUUCCUCAAAUUUUUUGAUUAGAUUUAUGAAAUCAAUAAUAAUUGGAUGACGUUAGAAAACCGAUGGACAUUAUUUAUUGAUUUGCUUCAAUUUGUGCAAUUUUAGGUGAGAAAAAGAAAUUGCAUAUCAGAAUGCAUAAUAUAAAAUAAAAAAUUGUGGGUUUGGUAAAAUGAAAAACUAUGUAAAUUAAAAUGAAAACCAAGAGUUGUUUCCUUUGUUUGGGUAUGGACAAGGAAGUAGCCAAGAUACAAGAGACAACAUUUUUCCAUUGUUGUUCCUGUAUACUUUGUUCAGCAAGAUUGAAAAGGAACAAAAAGAAAAUAAGAGUGCACAUUACAGUGAAAAAGGCCUAUGUUAGUUGAUUUAGUAAAUAAUUAUAAGCCUGUUACAGUGAAAAAGGCCUAUGUAAGUUGAUUUACUUUUUUUAUUCUGAUCUAUUUAAAUUAAUGGUUUUUUUAAAAAGCUUGAAUCUGACUUAUUUACUAAACAAGCUAAACCGGUCUGGGUUUUAAGUAAGUCGAGUUAUAAGCCCCUAACAAACGGUCUGGCUUAUUUUAGGAUUUAGGGUUUACCCAAAUGAUCCCUCCACUUCUCCCUUCAACAUAUAUAGCACAACAAGAAUCAAAACCAAACCUAACUCGUAAGAAUUCUAUAGUCAUUGCUUUUGCCAACGUCUCGUACAAAUAAAGAAUAUCAAGAUUUUAUUUUUGGUUAAUAAAAAGUAGUAAUGCUAAAGGAAGAGACAACCCCAAAAAAAUUAGCUCUAAUAUUUAAUGUAAUACUACUAUGCAUGUAGUAGGAAUAAAUGGGAAACGUAUGCUCUUUUUUUUUUUUUUUGUUACCUGGGAAACGUAUGUUUGAUUGUUUAUUGAAUAGUAGAAAAUUGUUGUAAAGGAAUUCUUUUUUCGACGUUAUAAAGGACUCUCUUUAUGCAUCUCCAAUAAACACUAUCUAUACUUUGUAAAAAGAAUACAAAAAUAAAUGUGAGCAUUGAUAGGGAUAUGAUAGCAUCUAGGAAUCGGGUUCCACCUUAGUUUCUUCUCCUUUAUCCAUUACUAACAUAUGAUUUAUGGUCAAUUUUCAACCUCAAAGAGCAUUCCUUUAAUAAAUAGUUUCCCGUUUUUUUUUUUAUUAUUUAAAUAAUCGAUUUUCACAUCUAUUUAGUUUAUUUCUCUAAUUUUUUCAUCAUCUUAGUGCGACGUUAUUUUGUUUGUCGUCUUUGUGUGACAUUGUUUAUCUUUAUUGUCUUGUUUAGAUGUUUGUUUCAUUCAUAUUGUCAUAUCAAGUUUGAUGCAGUGCAUGUUCAAUCAAUGAUUUAAAAAUUGUCAACGUUGUUGUGAGUUUGUUCGUGGAUUCAUCAAUUUUGUUUUUAGCAAAUUCAUAUUGUAUCGGUGUACUCUAUCAAUUUGAAUGAAUAAUAUCAUUUAUUACUAAAAAAAAGUACCGGGUACAAACUUUAAAUUUUCCGUUUAGUUAUCUUAAAGUGAAUUUUUAGCCACUAAAUUAUUUUAUUAAAAAAAAUCACUAUAUAUAAUGAUUAAAAUUAUAAGCGUAAUUUCAGGAGUGAACAUAGACCUUUAUUCAAAAGGGAAUGAACAUAGACGUAUAAUUAAAGGAGAACGAUAUUUCAUUGUCAUUAAUUUGUUUAUUGUCACUACGUGAAUAUUUUCUAAUUAUUUCGUGGGUGACUGCGACUGAGUCUAUUCAACAAAAAACAAAAAUCUACCGACUAAGUCUUCUUAUAAUUCCAAGACAUCGACUUUGAAUUUUUGAUACAACAAUGACCCAAUCUCACCCAAUCUUAAGAGUACUAUCAUAAUUCAUACAAAAUAGGUCAUAUUUUUCGGUCCUUAAAUAGGUCAUAUUAUAUUUUUCGGUCCUUAAAAAAAAUUGAUAUUUGAUUUUUUAAAAUUAAAUUAACAAGGGUAAAAUUGAGAUAAAAAGUGAUAAACUGUAAGUUAUAAGAUAUUUGAAGCAGCUUAAGAAAAAUGGUAUAAGCUCGAAAAAGAAAGUUAUAACUCGUGAGAAAACUUGUUUGCUAAAAAAAUAAAAAAUAAACUCGUGAGAAAAAAAAUUGUUAACAGACAUGUUUUAUCUUAGUCAUAUGAGAUCAUAAAUUAUAAAUUAUUUGUUAUAAGUGACAUUAACCCAAGAACAAUUUCGUAAUAGUGUAUAUAAAAUAAAAUCAUUAAUUAAUAUGGUAAUUCAGAAUAUUUUGAUUGAUUUUGGAUGUAAAACUGUUUUGGACCGUUAAUCUACCACUAUUAAACUCUUAAUACAUUACCAAUUUUUGUUAAUAUGCAAUUGCAUAAUAAAUUAUUUGUGAUUAAGAUAUCAACUGUUAAUUUCUCAAUUUACUGAUUACACGCUUUAGAAGAAUAAGUAAAUUAGCAUUUUAGUUCUCGGAAUAAUAAAGGACAAAUUAUUUAUUCACUAAAAUUUGUGAAAUAAUAAUUAAUCAAUUAAAUAAAAUAAUACUAUCAAUUAAUUCAGUUCCUCAUAUCUUAUGAAAAAUAAAUCAUCAACAUUUAUAAAAGAUUUGCAUGUUGACUUUUUUAAUUUGUAAAGUUCUAACAUAAAUAACGUGGUAAUUUGAAGUUCGAUAUAAUGUUAAGUGAAGUAUGAUAAAUGAUUGUUUUAAGUCAUGAUUCGAACUCAGUUUUUUUCGAACAAUUUAUCUUAAACAAAAGUUAAGUGAGCACUUCAGCUCAACCGCUCGACUGAAUUAUAUAUUAAUUUAUGUUUUUUAUACAAAAAUAAACGAUAUUCAUUCAUUUAAAUUGAUAUAGUACAUCGAUACAAUACGAAUUUAAAAUUGCUAAAAACAAAAAAGGAUGAAUCUACGAACAAACUCAGAGUAUCCAUGUUAAUAGCAUAAAACGGUAGAGUAUAUAUGCCUACAAAUAUACCUAUCAAGCCACUGAAAUACUCAUGUUUCGGAUCUGCAACGUUGACAAUGCAAAAGUCAUUGAUUGAAUCUGCAUUUGAUCAAAGCUAAUCUUUCAACCUGAAUCAAAUAAAAACCGCAUUAAGACAUGAAUAAAAAACACACCGCACAAAGACGAGAAAUCAAAAUAAAUAAAGUUGUGCUAGAUGACGAAUUCACAAAACCAACAAAAGAAAGGUGAAAAUAUGUGAAAAAUUACUUAUUUAACUAAAAGAGAAAGAGAAACAAUUCAUAGGGGUGAUUUCGUGUCAAAAUUGAUAGUAAGUCACACCUUUUUGGUAGAUGAAGAAGAAAAAAAGUCGUGUGACUAGGGUUUAGGAAAGGAAAAGUGAGAGAAUUUCUACCUUAUAUAAUUGAUUUUUUUAUGUUUUAAAACCAAGACAUUUUCUACACGCGACUACGACAACUAAUCUCUCAAUGUAAACGAAAUUCAUCGUAGAAGUUGUCAUCUCUCAAUAUAUAUUAUCUAUACACAAUGAUCAACAGAUUAAAAUAAUGACCACAUAGCCGAGAGACUCAAAUAAAUAUUCAUCAAUUUUGUUACACCAUAUUGGUAUAUAACUUUCAACUAUGUGGUGUUAAAGUCUGAAAACACGACUAAUUAACUAAUACACUUUAAAGUACUAAAGUAUUACUAUUUAACGAAUUUUAGGACCCACCAUGACACCAUUGCAAUAAUUUCAAUUGGAAAAAUAUUUAGCACCGUUUGGUCAGACUUUUUUCGGUCUAAAAAUUAUUUUAAAACAAAGUUAAAAUAAAACUCUUUAAGGAAAAAGUUAAAGUUGUUUGGUUUCUUUAUUUUUUUUAGUUUUUUUUUGAACAAGCCAAAAUGGAAUUAUAUAAACAAAAAGGCAGUCCCAAACGCACAAGGUGUGCCCUAGCGACUACCUCCAAAACCAAGAGUUACAAGAAUUACAACCAAGCCACAACAGAAAGACAUUAGCCAAUACCCAAACAAACAAGAGGGUUUGACCACCACUGCUGAGUUCCAAAAACAAAGGUAGCUUUUUUAACUUUAAGUCAACCUAAAGACAACAUCUUAAUCUUAUCUAAUAAACAAGGGAUGGGGGUAACAACAUGAUUAAACAGACGGUUAUUUCGUUCAUUCCACACAACCCAGGCACAAAGAAGCCAAAUAAGUUGCAUAAAAGAACGUCUAGCAACACCACCACCUGUCAAAUGAGUAAACUGUAAAAAAUGAUCGGAAAUAUUAUAUGUGUCCACCCCAUAGCAACCAAUCCAAUCACGCACCAGAUGCCACAGAGAGCCAAAAGUAUUACACAAUAAAAAGAGAUGUUGCACCGAUUCAGGAUGACCACAACCAGUAACACACGAGGACAUGUCAUGCGACAACACCCGUCUAGCAAUCAAAUUAGUCCUUGUUGGUAAACGAUCUCGGAUGAGCCUCCACACGAAAACGAACACCUUCAAGGGAACCUGUUUGUGCCACACCAAAUCCAAAGCAUAGUCCGCUACCUGAGGAACCUGAGAAGUCAACAAACUAUAUGCACCAUGAACAGUGUAACCACCAGAUGGGUCCGGAAGCCACACCCAGCUAUCUGAAACAUUAGGAUCCAAAGAAACAUCAAGAAUUAAAGCCCUGCACUCCUCUAGCAAGUCCUCAUCCCACUGCCAUAACCUACGUCUCCACCUCCACACAUCCCCCCACUGCUCCGAAUCAACAGAAAGCAAGUCCGCCACGAAUAUAGACUUAUUCUCUGUUAACUCAAACAACCGACUAAACCUCACACGAAGAGGAGCCUCCCCUAUCCACCUAUCGAACCAAAAUGAUGUAUCUGCCCCAUCACCAACUCUCCUCAACACCUGAUCCUCAAACCAGCCGCUACCACCAACACCAACCCUACCCCUAAGACGACUCACCUCCGACCACCAACAAGAAACUCUCCGGCCCCCAACCUGCCACCUAAUUCGCCAUAUCUGGCAACUAAAACCCUAUACCACAAAUCACCUCUAUCAACCAACAACCUCCAACACCAUUUCCCUAACAAUGCUAUAUUAAACUCCUUCAAUCUCCUCACCCCCAAACCGCCACACUCCUUUUUUAAACAAACAGUUUGCCAACUUAACCAAGAUAUUUUCCUAUUAUCCUCACUCCCCCCACUGCUCCGAAUCAACAGAAAGCAAGUCCGCCACGAAUAUAGACUUAUUCUCUGUUAACUCAAACAACCGACUAAACCUCACACGAAGAGGAGCCUCCCCUAUCCACCUAUCGAACCAAAAUGAUGUAUCUGCCCCAUCACCAACUCUCCUCAACACCUGAUCCUCAAACCAGCCGCUACCACCAACACCAACCCUACCCCUAAGACGACUCACCUCCGACCACCAACAAGAAACUCUCCGGCCCCCAACCUGCCACCUAAUUCGCCAUAUCUGGCAACUAAAACCCUAUACCACAAAUCACCUCUAUCAACCAACAACCUCCAACACCAUUUCCCUAACAAUGCUAUAUUAAACUCCUUCAAUCUCCUCACCCCCAAACCGCCACACUCCUUUUUUAAACAAACAGUUUGCCAACUUAACCAAGAUAUUUUCCUAUUAUCCUCACUCCCCCCCCCCCCCCAAAAAAAAAAAAAAUUAAUAAACAAAGAUUCAAUAGAGGAGAUUAUACCUGAUGGAGCUUUGAAGAAGGAAAGUGCAUAGACAGGCAAAGAGGUCAGGACAGAUUUGAGAAGAACCAAGCGACCACCAAAAGAUAGAAACCGACUAUUCCAACCUGACAGUCUAGAUUUAAUACGAUUCACAAUAGGUUCCCAGAAACACAAUCUUCGAGGAUUACCACCAAUAGGCAUACCCAGAUACAAGAAAGGAACGUUACCUACUUUACAACUCAACACGGAAGCAGCCUCAUGUAACCAAGACGACGCAAUAUUCACCCCAACAAGCAUACUCUUAUGAAAAUUCACUUUCAACCCCGACAUAGCCUCGAACAACACAAGGGCCGCCCUUAAAGCACGAACAUUAGCCCAACUUUUAGUUCCUAACAACAAAGUGUCAUCAGCAAAUUGGAGGUGAGAUACAACAACCGGAUUAACCACCCCAAUGCUAUAGCCAGAGAACAGUUGAGCCUCAACCAAAGAUUUCAUCACAACAUUAAGACCCUCCGCGGCCAACAAAAACAAAAAAGGAGACAAAGGGUCACCUUGUCUUAACCCUCUCAUCAACGGGAAUUCAUCAGUUGGACUUCCAUUAACUAAGACAGACGCUGUGGCAGUGCUAACACACUCUUUGAUCCAAUUCCUCCAACGGGAAUUCAUCAGUUGGAAUUCAUCUUUAAAAGUUGUUUGACAAAAUAUUGUAUACCAAAUUUUGUUAUAAGAAUAUCAUAUUUUUGGUGUCAUUUAAAAAGAUAAGAAUUUAUAUUAUAUGAUAUUAUAUUUGUUACAUUGUUGGUGUCAUUGAAAAAGAUAUGUUUAGUUUUUUAAUAAGAAAAAGAUAUGCAUAGUUUGUUACAACAUAAAUGUGUAAAGUAUAUAUAAGUAUAAUUUUUUAGGUAUCUAUACUAGUACUUUUAAUUAAAAUCAAAAUUUUAUAAAAAUAAUAAUUGUACGCAUUGCGCAACACUGAAAAAAUUAUACCCAUUAGCAUAACAAAAAAAAACAGACAUACAGACAUAAAAUAUUACUCUAAACGCUAAUGUGUGUGUGUAUAUUUGUGAGGUUGAAAAAAGGGAAUAAAAAUAUUUGGUGUCAUUCAAUGACAGCAUGAAUAAAAAUAUUUGUGAGGUUGUGAUAAUUAAACGAUAUUAAAAUUAAAUAUAUAAGUGAUAAAAAGAUAAUAAAACUCCUUCAAAAAUAGAUAAUUAAAUUGAUCCUCCUUUAAAAAAAAAUUAUAUGGACCGGUUCAAAAAAAAUUAAAUUGAAGAAAAAACAAAUUGAAAUAUAAUAUUAAAAAAUAAAAUAUAAGGUUGCUGCGUGAGUUGAAGAGGAGUGCUUGUGAAAUAAAUUACAAAGAAGUAGUUUUUUGAAGUAGCAUUCAACAACUUUUGGUUAAAGCUCAUUCCAUUCAAAUUUUAUGCAUUCUAAAAAAAGUACUUUUUUUCGAAGGUAUUUUAUUGAUAUUGUGUUUGGCGUAGCUUCUCCUUAAAAAUGUAGAAAAGUUGAAGAAAAAAAAAAAGUCGGGUCAAACAGUACUUUAAUAUACUCAAUUAAAGUUACUAAUGUACUGGCAAGUAACUUUUAGAGGAAGAUUUUCUUUUUUUAAGGAUUUUAGAGGAAGCUUAGCAACACACUUUUAAUAUACAUUUUUCUAGAAUUUUUUUUUAUUGAUUAAAAUUCAUAUAUAUCCUCAUAAAUCAUGUGGAUUUCAUAUAAUAUAAUAGAAGACACAAAUUUUAACCGACAAAUAGAGUGUAAAAAAUAGAGAAAUGAUAUUUGUACAACCACUUUGUGAUAAUUUUUGGACAAUUUUCUCUCUCAUACUCAUAUUAUAUUCUUACUCUCUUCUUUUUUCUCUCUCCAUUAUUUUUGACCAAUGAAAAGAGAGAAAAGAAAGAUUGUCAAAUAGGUUGUACCAAAUGGUUGUUCAAAUAGGUUGUACCAAAUGGUUGUUCAAAUAUCAUUUCUUUAAAAAAUAUAAGCAUUAAAGAGUUUGUUGUUAACAUUAUUUUAAUUUUUUUUAUGUAAUCCACACUUUGAGUCAUGGAGUGCUUUACUAAUUCAUUUUGUUUUUCGCAACCCAAUUCAAGAUUGUCUAGAAACAAAGAGGACUGACCUAAUAAAUAAAUAUUAAAAUAAGCUACUUGAGCUAAACAAUGAGAUUUCCAAACAAGGUAGGUCCUACUCAAGUUCUAUAAAUAGCAUCCCUCACCAUGUCAUAAACCGCAUCACAAGUUAUAUACUAGUUGUAUUUUUAUUAUAUACUUCUCCUUUCAUUUUCUUCUUGCAUAUUAAUCUUCUUUAUCUUAAUAUAUAUCAUGGGUGUUUUUACUUUCAAUGAUGAACAUGUCUCAACCGUGGCUCCAGCUAAACUAUACAAAGCUCUUGCAAAAGAUGCUGAUGAAAUCGUCCCAAAGGUGAUUUCUGCUGCCCAAAGUGUUGAAAUUGUUGAAGGAAAUGGAGGACCAGGAACCAUUAAGAAGUUAUCCAUUGUU